AACGAACGCUGGCGGCAUGCCUAACACAUGCAAGUCGAACGAAGCCUUCGGGCUUAGUGGCGCACGGGUGCGUAACGCGUGGGAAUCUGCCCUUGGGUUCGGAAUAACAGUUAGAAAUGACUGCUAAUACCGGAUGAUGUCUUCGGACCAAAGACUUAUCGCCCAAGGAUGAGCCCGCGUAGGAUUAGGUAGUUGGUGGGGUAAUGGCCCACGGAGCCGACGAUCCUUAGCUGGUCUGAGAGGAUGAUCAGGCACCCUGGGACUGAGACACGGCCCAGACUCCUACGGGAGGCAGCAGUGGUGAAUAUUGGACAAUGGGCGAAAGCCUGAUCCAGCAAUGCCGCGUGAGUGAUGAAGGCCUUAGGGUUGUAAAGCUCUUUUACCAGGGAUGAUAAUGACAGUACCUGGAGAAUAAGCUCCGGCUAACUCCGUGCCAGCCGCCGCGGUAA
rnacentral:rRNA from 1 species